GCACCUUCUGGCCCCGAGUGCCCGUUUCUCUGGGGUAGGGUGAUGGGAGUGGAUGACCCAGCGGGCUUUGGGGGCUGCGACGAGCCCUGGGCUCUCCUGGGGCUGCUAUGGUAACAUGUAAGGUGUAGCGUAGCCCAGCGCUGACUGGACCCAGCGGCACAGGCCGCGGGAGCCCUGCUUGGCUCAGCCCAGGGAAUCUGGGGUAGAUACCCCUUAGUGUCAUGGAAAAAAAAAAAAAACGAAGGUGACUGGAAAUGUUGUAUUGGAAGCUCUGCAGAGUGCAGCAAGCACUUGGAGAUGGUGCCUGUGUACUGCAUGGGGGGAAGAGGGGUGAACCUGGGGUUAUCAAACAGCCUCCGCAUGGAGCAAUGCAGAAAUGGGGCUGUUCCUGCAAGACUGAUGGGGCAGUUGCAACUCAAGGAGCGCUAGGUGGUUUGCACAUCCAUGGAGGGGCCAUGGGACUUUGCCAGGACUGGAGCACAUGCUGGAGUGUGGGGAAACAUGCAGGCAUCUGCACCUGAACAGACUUGCCUUGCCUGGGGAUGAGGAAGGUGGAAAGCAGAGGACAGAAGCUGAGCACAGAUCCUAAGUAAAGUUGUCAAGGUAAACAUGGGAGAUGUGUUUGGCUAUGGAUGAAGCCCUAACAAUUCUCCAUGAAGGACAGAACCGAGAGAAGGAGACACUGAAGGAACCCCAAAGAGCCAGGAGUCAGUACUGGUAAGAAAACCAUUGGGAGGUAAGAAUCUGGAGAGCACAAGGGUAUUCAGAGCAAUCAAAAAAGGCAGAGAGAGCAAUCACCCCUGAGGAGGUGCUUGAAAAGGGGACAAAAGCCAACAAGAGGGAACUCGGCAAAGCAGAGAGAGACUGUGCACCCUGCUGAUGAAGGUGGGGAAUGCAGAGACCUGCUAGGAGGACAGAUACCCACAGCUUUGUAUUCCUCAGACUGCCCCUCUCUGACAGGACAAGGAGGGAAAACCGAUGCUACAAGCAAAUAAUGAUUUUUUUCC
rnacentral:lncRNA from 1 species